UACGUAGGGUGCAAGCGUUGUCCGGAAUUAUUGGGCGUAAAGAGCUCGUAGGCGGUUUGUCGCGUCUGUUGUGAAAACUCAGGGCUUAACCCUGAGCCUGCAGUGGGUACGGGCAGACUAGAGUGUGGUAGGGGAGAUCGGAAGUCCUGGUGUAGCGGUGGAAUGCGCAGAUAUCGGGAGGAACACCAGUAGCGAAGGCGGACUCGCUGGGCCACACCGUGACGCUGAGACGCGAAAGCUAGGGCGAACAGG
rnacentral:rRNA from 1 species